rnacentral:tRNA from 1 species
AGAAAAGUAAGCUAAAUAAAGCUAAUGGGUUCAUACCCCAAAAAUAGAGGAUAUCCUCUCUUCUCUA